AUGAAUGUGUGCAGUUGUUCUUUUUAUCUUUUUUUUCCUAGAAAGAAAACAAGUACAGAUCAUAUAUACUCAUCAGAUGAAGAGGCAGCAGAACCACCCAUUAAAAAAAGAAAAGCUGCAAACAAAACAAGUGUUCCACCUGCACCAAAACCUCCAGCCAUUCCAAAACUAAAAAAAAAAGGUCCUAUUGUGCAACCUCAGGUUUCACAGAGCAGAGCAGUAAACGCUCUCAGCAACUCAUGCGUCAAUCAGCAACAAAGGGACACGGAAGACCAACAACAGACCUGGUGUGAGAGUCUCCCCAGCUUCCAAGCUCCACUGCGUAUGUCUCAGCCAGACCAUGACGGAGACAGCUGGUGUGUUGCUCACCCUAACACACAAGAGCACACGUUUGCUGUCCUGAGACCCUCAGG
rnacentral:lncRNA from 1 species